UCCGCAUCGGUGGGACCACCACGAUCAGGCAUCUUAUGUCUAAGAUGUCUAUGGGUGGAGUACCCCUUUAAUACUUGUAACCUUAUGUGCCGAAUCAAUAACUUUCACCCAAAAAGGUAAGCUGAGAGGGCUCUCCCACCAUUUGUGGAGCAUGGUACCCUCAGCCUGACCACAUUAACAGCAUUAGGCAGAAGAGUGACGGUACUCGGUACCAUGGUGAGUGUACUUUGUAGUUGGUUUCUUUGAGUUUUCCCAGAUAGUGUUAUCUUAUGGCUCAGGAAGAAGGCCUUGGAACAGUCUACAGGAGUGAAAGUGUGGUCCAAUUUAUUUUCCCAUUUACUAAGGCAAAGAAUUACCUUCGUGGAAUCUAAAAGGAGCCAACGAUCUCACAAGAUUUAGGCGAACCCCCUCAAGUUUCCCAUCUAAUGUCUAAAGUCACUAGUUCUUUCAAGUCUUGAUCCUGUUCUAGGAUAUACCAGUUGCGUCUGAUCACAUCCCUAAUGGAUUUGUUCAUUGGGCUGUUGUCAAACACAAAUGGGAAUCUAGAUUUUUGUUUCUUAUGGGAUUUCUUGGUAUUAAGUAACAUGUGUCUUGUUUUUGUCUCAACUUUAGUAAAAGCUUCAGAAAUCAAUUUCUCUAUUGGCCAGUCGUAUUGCAAGUUUCUUCGGCUUGUUUAAGAAACAUCUGAUUACGUCACUGCUGCGCGUACAACUUUAUUUAAACAGGAGAACAAAGUGACGCCAGUAAGGGCUUGAGAAAGUGCCAGGUCGGUGCGAAACACUGUCGCCCGUUGUCCAGCUAUCUCCUCUGCCUUGUAACAACUGCCACCGGUUGAUGCCAUCCUGACUGAGCCAGAUGAACCAGGACACAGUGGACGUUUACACGACUGCAGUACUGAAGAGAUCUAUACUCGAUAUCCCCGCAGGGGAAUAGGCAAACUGAUUUCCGGUGUAUUUUUAGAAGCAUGAAUAGCCAUCAGUAAAUCAUGGAGGCAAUCAGCAGGCAGCGUGGAGUCGGUGGAGGUGACGCUCUCGUAGAUAAUCGCCAUUAAUGACAUCUACACAUAAGAGCUGCCUUAACCCUCUGGAAUAAGCCAUAAGAUGCAGGAGGAGAAUCAUUUUUCAUGUCUGCAGAUUCUGUUCGGGUUGUUAAUUAUCUUAUAAUGUCCGACGAUCAUCAUCAUCAUCAUCAGCCCACAACGAGAAGCCUAUCUAUGAAAUGUUGUGUGGAAGACUAAUGUGCGCCUGGAGGAUUAUUACUGCCAUUAACCCCUUGAGGACUAAG